rnacentral:rRNA from 1 species
UACAGAGGUCCCAAGCGUUGGUUCGGAUUCACUGGGCGUAAAGGGUGCGCAGGUGGGUUUGCAAGUUCGAUGUGAAAGCCCCGGGCUUAACCCGGGAAUGGCAUUGGAUACUGCAGAUCUGGAGGAUCGGAGGGGGGGACUGGAAUUCGUUGGUGUAGCAGUGAAAUGCGUAGAUAUCAAGAGGAACACCAGUGGCGAAGGCGAGUCCCUGGACGGUACCUGACACUGAGGCACGAAAGCUAGGGGAGCAAACAGG